rnacentral:rRNA from 1 species
UACGUAGGCAGCGAGCGUUGUUCGGAGUACUGGGCGUAAAGAGUGCGUAGGCGGUUUUCUAAGUUUGGUGUGAAAUCUCCCGGCUUAACUGGGAGGGUGCGCCGAAAACUGGAAGGCUUGAGUAUGGGAGAGGUAAGCGGAAUUCCGUGGUGUAGCGGUGAAAUGCGUAGAGAUCGGGAGGAACACCAGUGGCGAAGGCGGCCAUCUGGAUCAACACUG